UUAAACAUCGGGCAUUUUUCCUUAUAAUCCGGAGAACGUGUGCCGCGCUGUGGAUGAGCCCACCGAUGAUUUAACCGGCGCAACAUUGCAAUCUGAAUUGUUAAACUUUCGCGAAGUUUAUGCAAAUGAAUUGGCAGAAUUCAAGCAGUUUGUUCGCGUGAAAUUUCAUGCGCCUAAUUCUACGGCCGAAGGGAUCGGCAAGAGCGAGGACGAUUGUGUCGCGAGCAAACCUGUAUACUAAGCGAUAAUCCGGGAACGACUAUGCACUUCCGUAGGAACAAGUAUUGCUGCCUCUUUAAUCCAAUUCACACCACAGUUCACAACACUAGGAGAUCGUAAUUAGAAACAGUCUCAGAAGUCAAGUCUCAGACUACUGAUCAGUGACUGCUACCGAUAUUAGUGACAACCAGAACUUAUAUAGACUUCGCGUUAUGACAUCAUAUACACCGUUAGUAAAAGAGAACAGCAAAUCACAGUAGAGAUUGACUAGAUUAUCCGUUAUGUUGCAGGUGGAAGGCGGACAGUAGAGCCCUGCAACGGACUGGGAAAUCCGAUCCACUCCGAACCCACUCCGAUUUUCGGACCGGAUUGGACGGAUUUCAAUCUGGAAAAUUCGGAGUCGGAGUGGUUUCGGAUUUUUUGUGCACCUGAUCGGAUCGGGUUCGGAUGCAAUCGAGACUCCGAAUAAUCCGUAAUAUUCUUUUGGAAAAUUUUUCGGAUCGGAUCGGAGUGGGUUCGGAUUGGCCAAAAAUAUUUUCGGAUCGGAUUGGUCGGAGUACGAUUUUUAGAAUUCGGAGUCGGACUGGGUUCGGAUAAAAUUUUUUAAGUUCGGAUCGGACUGGACGCAGUUUCGCACUCCGCUGCAGGGCACUAGCGGACAGUCAGCAUCCAAGUACCAACUGCUGCCGCCAACCAUCACAUAACAUCCGACUGGGCGGACUGGGAUUCAACAAUUGUUAUAAAUUUUGCUGCUCCUUAUAAUUAUGGUCCCCAGCUACGCUAACGCCGCAGUUCCCCCGCGCUCUCAUGAAAAAACAUGCUUCUAGUCCGAUGUGAGCAUGCCAGAAGGUGCUUCCUGGGUAUGCUGCUGCUCGCCUUCUUGUCCACCAAGGAUACCAUCAAAUGCCAUCAUUACCCAUCGCCACCAUGGAUGUGACCUACACUGGUCUCUGCUUGCGAUUUAGCUGAAUUAGGCAACUACAGUGGCUAUAAUCACGAUUAGUGGGUUGAUUAGUGUGUUUUGAUUGUGAGUUUGUGUGUUGGGCAGUGCCGUGUGAAUUUAUGACAUAGCUUUUGUUAUACCCAAAUG